rnacentral:lncRNA from 1 species
GACUAACUAAAUUUUUAAUUCAGGGAUGGAAGGCUUCUGGGCAUAGUCAAGUACUUGCGAAGUCAGAGUGUGAUCGAGAUGGGAUUGACCACUCCAAGAGUUGGAGAAGAAUGAGUCGUUGUAUUUCAAUUUAGCAAAACCUUGACCAGGGUAAUCCAUCAGAUGGAUUUGAUAUUUUGAAAUACAAUGUGGACAACCA